ACGGCGUGAUUCUCGGUAGUCACAACAACACCGUUAUUGCUGUUGCGAUCCGGCUCCUUCGGACACUGGUGAUUACUAUUGAGCGUUUGCUGCUGCUGUUGUACCAGUGUCACCAUACCCAUGUGCUAUACGAAAAAAUCAUCUUUGCAUCGGAUAUGUUUUAAAAUGCAGUAAGCUGCAUGCAGCAGAAUGUACUUGUCGAGAAACAACUACGGGAUUUUUAAAUAAAUUCAUAAGAAUCACAUUUGGAAAUGCAAUUAUUUUUCGUUAAUGUAGGAUGAAUUUAAAAGUUUACGAAAAGAGAUUCACGCGCCAAUCACAAUGGAAUAUAUUUCAGAUAAAGUAUAUAAUAUGUGCAAAAGAAAAACGAUAAGUAUCUUCUGUAAGAAGCAUACGAAACAUCAUCUACAACGAAUUGAUUUUUUCGUAAACAAAUUAUGGACAUCGAUUAUACUAAUCACUGAAGGAGCGUGGACGUCACAGUAUCGUAUCUUCCAUCGAAAUUGUUUUAUUGCGAAAUAAGUUGCAUCUAAUCUAGUUGAUCAAUCGCAUCCUGCUUAUCUAUAAUCACAGUAGCAAAUUUCUAAUUGGGUAUGGCGAUUCUUGUUCAAAAGUAAAAGUAUUUAUAUCUUCAAUCGCAGAUGCUUCAUCUGUUUUCGUGUCUUAUUAUAGUAAAUUACACGUCAAUUGUAAGACUAAUCAUCGUGAUUAAAAAUACAAACGUUUUAUACGUUUUAUUUAAAUCAGGAACUUGUAGAUAAAACCAAGGAUUUAUAAGUAAAGAACAAUCAGUGAGCUCAAUCAGGAAACGUCACUUGUCAGUAUCCUAAAUCUUUGCAACUGGUCGGCAACAAUCCUCAUUAGUCGCUAAAUUAAGGAUCGAUUGACUCAUACUAAAGAUUACCUUGUAUAAAUCAUUGUUCGUGCUGGCGACGGUCACUUUGCCAACACUUUGUCAACCAUCAAUCUAUGACAUAGUGCCGUUACCGUGGAAGAUGCUUCACGGAAAGGAAAACUUCAUUCGAGCUAGCCCUCGACACGUUGUUGACUCCACCUGCUGUUGGAGAAUGUUGUACCGAAACAAAGUAUAAUCCGAACAAGAACGAUCUACUAUCAGUUAUCUCCGUUGAUCCUACGACACUGUCAGACAGAUACUGACUUCAGCGAUGACGCCACGUAACUGCUGAAGGACAACGCGUUUUGGAGGUGGAAAGCUCUCUCGUUUCUUGCUCGUGACGAGAGACGAAUCAAACUAAUAGAAGAAAAAAAAAGGAAAAACAGGAAACGAAAAUUGCGUACACCGAUAUUUCUUUUCGCACCUUUCGCACAAAUAUUCUCUUGUCUAAUUUAGAUGGUAACGCCUCUGAUUCCUGUGCUGAUACGUGGAUGACAUCGCGGUCAUCAUGUGCCUCAUUCAAUCUACGUCACUGCUGCAGAUCGUACUGCGUAUUAAUUACAAAGCCACAGUAAAUGCAACACAAUCCAAGGAAAUAUAUAUAUAUUAUAUAUAUAUUUUUUUUUUAAUAUACACGUCACUUAUAGUUUCUAUUGCAAAAAAACGAUUUGCAAUUUGCAAACACUCACUGACAAACUGCCGAUGGAAUCAAAUUAAAUACUCGUAAUGGCGGUGUUAUCACUGUUCAAUCUAACAUAGAAGAGACUGUUGUCACGUUGUCGGAUGCGUUCAGAAAUCGUUGGCCCCACUCUUUCCCUCUUUCUCUCUACCACAACUGUUAACGAUGCAGCUGCGGUAUGCAGCAUGUAUAUGCGAUAACGCUUUACACAAUUUUUAGUCUUUUUCUUGAAGUCGGAUAUAGACUUGCAACUUUAUUUCGAUGACUGGUGAUUUCUAACAUUAAUAGCCCAUCAAAGCAUCUACAUUAAUUGUAUUGUAUAAUUUUUUUGCAAUUAGAAAUACAAAAAUACAAUUUUAAAAAAAUUAACAUUUUGUGCUAAUUAUAUGAAGAGCAUAUAAUAUAUUAUACACAAUUGUCUUAAAUUAGAAGCCGAUGUAUUUUUUUUUAAUUUGGAGAUGUAAUAAGAGUACAAAAAAUCUUUCUAUCUAAAAA